rnacentral:rRNA from 1 species
AUACGGAGGGUCCAAGCGUUAUCCGGAUUCAUUGGGUUUAAAGGGUCCGCAGGCGGGAAAAUAAGUCAGUGGUGAAAGCCUACAGCUCAACUGUAGAACUGCCAUUGAUACUGUUUUUCUUGAGUAUAGAUGAAGUGGGCGGAAUAUAUCAUGUAGCGGUGAAAUGCAUAGAUAUGAUAUAGAACACCGAUUGCGAAGGCAGCUCACUAAACUAUUACUGACGCUCAGGGACGAAAGCGUGGGGAGCGAACAGGAGUAGAUACACUAGUAGUCC